GGGCGGUUAGCUCAGCUGGUCAGAGCGCCUGCUUUACACGCAGGAGGUCGUCGGUUCGAGUCCGACACUGCCCA
rnacentral:tRNA from 1 species